AGGAAAUCAAAAGACAAACUGGAGGGUUAAUAAUCCAUUUCCUUUUUCGUUCUCCAACUCACUUCUCUCCCUCCUUUUCUUUCGCUUCCAAAGGAAUUGUAAAGGAAAAACACAGUCUAUCCUGUUACACCCCCUCUUUCUCUCUCCUGAACUCCCAAGCAAGCUGGCUCUCGAAGGACUCUCAACUCAAGCUAUCAAUCUCGCAGCGCAUUUCACUACCUACUUUACGCCCUUCUCUCUCUGUGCGUGUCUGUGUUCACUGAGCUUGAACACAGAGAGCUUGAGCGGACUGGGUUUAAUUGGGUUUUUAUCUCGUUUAGCUACUAUGUGUUGAAGCAGAUUUGGAGAUUAGUGAAGCUCUCAAUGCUAUGGAGGCCCUGCUAUGGAAGCCCUUGGUCUCUUGUCCUCUAUUAGCAGCGCAGUUUCUGGCAAUAUCCCCCCAAAACAAUAUGAUUUCUACCAGUUAUUACGGGGCAUUCAGUAUGAAGUCCUCACGGAAUAAACUACUCCUCGUAGCAGCAUUAUCACCAUCUAAUGAUAACAAUGAUGAUUUUGGUAAAGACAUUGAUACCAUCACUAGUACCAGCAGCUGUGGAAUUUUGAAUGGAAAAGCUGCCAAAGGGUCCGGUACGACUGCCAGGGGACGAAGAUUGCUCAAGAUUCGAGAGGAGAAGAGAAAACGUGAAUAUGACCGUCUUCACAAUUAUCCUACUUGGGCCAAAGUCCUGGAAGAUGCUUGCAAAAAUGAUGCUGAACUCCGGGCUGUUCUUGGUGAUAGCAUUGGGAAUCCUGAGCUAAUGAGGAAAAGGGUUGAAGAAAGGGUUCGAACGAAGGGUCGAGAUUUUCGCAAGUCUAAAACAGGCUCUGUUCUUGCUUUCAAAGUCAGCUUUAGAGACUUCAAUCCUGUCGAUUCCUACAUAUGGUUUGAGUUAUAUGGAUCACCAUCUGAUCAAGAUGUUGACCUUAUUGGUAGUGUUAUUCAGUCAUGGUAUGUCAUGGGCCGUUUGGGUGCCUUCAAUUCUUCAAAUCUGCAGUUGGCGAAUUCAUCAAUGGAGUACGAUCCUCUCUAUGAUGCAGAUAAGGGUUUUAAAGUGAUGCCAUCAUCAUUCCAUGAUAUUAGUAACGUUGAGUUUCAGGACAACUGGGGCCGGGUUUGGUAUGUGUUUUCGCAUUUCUCUGUGGGUGGAUCUUGGUACGUCUGAUUUCUUUGCCAUCGAUGUACUCCUCAACUGUCUAACUGUAUUGAGCUCAGAAUAUGUGGGCAUUCAACAGGUAGUUUUUGGCGGUCGCCGCAUGGGUGAUUGGGAAGAGGGGAUGACAAGCCCUGACUUUGGAUACAAGUACUUCAAUAUCUGAAUUGAGAUUGCAACUCAACAAAGCCUUUGGAAGAAGAGGAGGGUAUGAGAAGCCCUUACCAUGAAUACAAGUAUAAAAAAUAUGAAAUGAAACCGAAACUCAACAAAGCUGUUUUCCAACUACUUGGGGUCAGCAAAAGCUGAAUAUGGUAGAAAUGCUCUCGUCGAGCAAAAUCCACAGGAUCACCUCCAGUUGAUGAGCAAUUUUUUAUUUUUUUUCCUAUGCGAAGAAACAUCAAGUCUUACACACAUACUACUGUCGAAAUUACUCAUAGUCAGUAUCAAGGAAUUGUAUUUAGUAAAAUUGAAUCAUUGUCAAGCUUAAUUUUAUUUUAGAAUUGGUGAAUUUAUUUGCUUUUAUUUUAUCAUGGUACUCAAAGAAACUUGGCAUUCUUGUAAGCUAGCAUUUCAUUUGUAGAGAGCAGUUAUUGUUCAAUGUUCUCAUGGAGUAUGAGACACAGCAACU